GUGGGGAAUCUUCCGCAAUGGACGAAAGUCUGACGGAGCGACGCCGCGUGAGUGAAGAAGGCCUUAGGGUUGUAAAGCUCUUUUACCCGGGAUGAUAAUGACAGUACCGGGAGAAUAAGCUCCGGCUAACUCCGUGCCAGCAGCCGCGGUAAUACGGAGGGAGCUAGCGUUGUUCGGAAUUACUGGGCGUAAAGCGCGCGUAGGCGGCUGUUUAAGUCAGAGGUGAAAGCCUGGAGCUCAACUCCAGAACUGCCUUUGAGACUGGACAGCUAGAAUCCUGGAGAGGUGAGUGGAAUUCCGAGUGUAGAGGUGAAAUUCGUAGAUAUUCGGAAGAACACCAGUGGCGAAGGCGGCUCACUGGACAGGUAUUGACGCUGAGGUGCGAAAGCGUGGGGAGCAAACAGGAUUAGAUACCCGGGUAGUCC
rnacentral:rRNA from 1 species